rnacentral:rRNA from 1 species
GACGAACCGAGCGACCGUUGUUCGGAAUCACUGGGCUUAAAGGGCGCGUAGGCGGGCCGCCGCGUCCGGGGUGAAAUCCUCCCGCUCAACGGGAGAACGGCCUCGGAUACGGGCGGCCUGGAGGGGGGUAGGGGCGUGCGGAACUGUGGGUGGAGCGGUGAAAUGCGUUGAUAUCCACAGGAACUCCGGUGGCGAAGGCGGCACGCUGGACCCCACCUGACGCUGAGGCGCGAAAGCCAGGGGAGCGAACGGG